rfam:Eubacterium sp. CAG:274 genomic scaffold, scf115
UGCUUAUCCAGAGAGGCGGAGGGACUAGGCCCUGUGAAGCCCAGCAACCGGCAUUUUAUGCAUCGGUGCUAAUUCCUACGGUUUAUUCCGACAGAUGAGUU